AGCCGCCGCGGGAAUACAGAGGGUGCGAGCGUUAAUCGGAUUUACUGGGCGUAAAGCGUGCGUAGGCGGCUUCUUAAGUCGGAUGUGAAAUCCCUGAGCUUAACUUAGGAAUUGCAUUCGAUACUGGGAAGCUAGAGUAUGGGAGAGGAUGGUAGAAUUCCAGGUGUAGCGGUGAAAUGCGUAGAGAUCUGGAGGAAUACCGAUGGCGAAGGCAGCCAUCUGGCCUAAUACUGACGCUGAGGUACGAAAGCAUGGGGAGCAAACAGGAUUAGAGACCCCGGUAGUCCCUGUCUCUUAUACA
rnacentral:rRNA from 1 species